GAACCAGUACCGUGAGGGAAAGGUGAAAAGUACCCCGACAAGGGGAGUGAAAUAGUAUCUGAAACCAAAUGCUUACAAGCAGUCGGAGCAAGCGUAUUUAUAUGUCUUGUGACGGCGUACCUUUUGUAUAAUGGGUCAGCGACUUAUGUUCAGUGGCGAGGUUAACCGUUUAGGGGAGCCGUAGGGAAACCGAGUCUGAAUAGGGCGAAUUAGUCGCUGGGCAUAGACCCGAAACCGGGCGAUCUAUCCAUGAGCAGGUUGAAGGUGCCGUAACAGGCACUGGAGGACCGAACCCACUGUCUUUGAAAAGCCAGGGGAUGACUUG
rnacentral:rRNA from 13 species